CAACAAUGUGUUUCUUGAUGUUUGUUUCAUUUACUUAAUAUAUGUCUGUGUACCUUUAUUCGCUUUGUGGUUGCUGACAAAAUAAUGUUAACCCAACAUUUUUGAUACUGUGAUUUAUUUAUAAUGAUUGCUGCUUCAGUAAUUAAAAAAAAAAUCUUCGAAUCUUUUUUCUUAUAAAAUUGAAGCUGUUUAUGAUACAAUGAAAAUUCGAAUAUUU
rnacentral:lncRNA from 1 species